UACGUAGGGUGCAAGCGUUAAUCGGAAUUACUGGGCGUAAAGCGUGCGCAGACGGUUACAUAAGUCGGGUGUGAAAGCCCCGGGCUCAACCUGGGAAUUGCAUUCGAGACUGCGUAGCUAGGGUGCGGAAGAGGGAAGCGGAAUUUCCGGUGUAGCGGUGAAAUGCGUAGAUAUCGGAAGGAACACCAGUGGCGAAAGCGGCUUCCUGGUCCAGCACCGACGUUCAGGCACGAAAGCGUGGGGAGCAAACAGG
rnacentral:rRNA from 1 species